AUGUCCAUGUCGACCGGAGUAGAGCCGAUGAUCGACGUGAAGGUUUUCGUGGACAAGGAGAGGGGCAAGGUGCUCUUCGCGGAGUCCGGCAAGGAGUUCGUCGACGUUCUCUUCGGCUUCCUCACGCUGCCCCUCGGCACCGUCGUCCGCCUCCUCGGCGGGCAGUCUCAGGUCGGAUGCCUGGACGAAUUGUACAGGAGCGUCGAGGGGCUCUCCCCCGACCUGUUCAGGACCGAGGCCUGCAAGGCGAUGCUGCUCAAGCCCAUCAACUCCGCGGCGAAGCAGUGCUGUCAGUUGCCGGUCAGAAUCGACGACACCAAGCACCGGGAGGUUUACGUCUGCGGUGACACGAGCUGCAGUGUCACCGCGUUCAGCUCCGUCCCCGGCGCCGUCUGCGAGUGCGGCAGAAUCAUGACGCAGCUAGCCGGGGAGAGGCCGGAGAAUCCUCGUAACGCUGCUGCCGGUGGUGCUUUCGAGGAUGGGGUUUUUGUGAAAGGAGGUAUGAAUAAGUUUAUCGUCACUGAUGAUCUCAAUGUUGCACCGGCCUCAACUUCCCUCAUGCUGUCCCUUCUGGACAAGUUUCAAGUGCCGGAUCCCUCCUGUCUUGAGCAAAUGACACUCCAGUUUAGUUCAGUCAAGGUUUCCGUAUCACAAUUAAUUUAUUUGUUUUGA
rnacentral:rRNA from 1 species